GGGCGCCGUGGUCUGGGACCACCCCUCUGGUUUCCAGGGAGUGAGUCUCUACUGGAGCAGCCCCAAGGACCUGGCAAACGCCCACCCUCUCAUCCUGCUCUUCUGAUUGGAGGGUGCAUCUCACGGUGCUGAGCAUGCCACAUGACCUUUCCCCAGCGGGCAUCUCGUGAGUCAAAUGGACAGAGUUACCCAGAUAUCCAGGCCAA
rnacentral:lncRNA from 1 species